CUUAACUCAGACAUUCUGGCUGGGAGGGAGAGGAAGAAACAAAGAAUAAAGAGAACAGAAGCAGGGAGAAAAAACAGAGGAGAAAGAGGGAUCACAAGAGACAAAACUGGAAUACAAUACAAUGCAGAACAGGAAGCUGAUUAUGAAAAUCUAUGUUAAUGAAGGUAACAGGAAAGCUUCGGCAUGAGAAAAAGAAGGAAGAAGAAAACAGAGCAGACAAAAAGGAUGGAGAGAGGAAAAAAGAAACUAGGAGAGAAUGAAGGAAGCAAAGAAAAUUAUUUUUUUAUAAAUGUAACUCAGACAAGGCCUAAUCCUUCAGACUUUUUGUGCAGGCAAAAAUCAUUAAUUAAUUUGCAGAAUCAGAGCCACAAUAUUGAAGGUCUCCCAAUAUUGCAUGUGCCCUGAGAGGUAUGCUCAUUCACAGGAGUCUACUAUUCCCUUUAAUACAGAAAACAGCAAGUAUAUGCUUAUGACAAUUAUUGUUUCCAUCUUGGUUAUAAAGCUUAGAAUAUAUUAAAGUAAAUACAAAUCCUAAGAAAAUAAUUUAUUUCAAGGACUUAGUUAAGAGGUUUGGUAGUAAGUACAACUUGUAGAAAAUUCAUAGAAAUUGUUUCUUGUCAUACCCAUUGAUGCAGGAGUUAGAAUUUAAGUAGCAGCUGAGUUACAUCUCUCAUUCACUCAGGAUUAGUCUCAGAAGAAAUAUAGUGGAACACUAGAAAUGCAUCUAAUUCAUUAUCUUUGCAAGAUUCUAAACAUAUUUAUUGCUAAAAUUUUCAUACUUAUUAAGAACCUAAUAAGUAGCUGGAUUUUCAGAGAGAAUAAAAUCCUGCAGUUCAAAUCCA
rnacentral:lncRNA from 1 species